rfam:Ixodes scapularis strain Wikel colony gcontig_1108378710486, whole genome shotgun sequence.
UCAGAGUGGUUAAGGGGAUGGACUAGAAAUCCAUUGGGGUCUCCCCGCACAGGUUCGAAUCCUGU